rnacentral:rRNA from 1 species
GAUGAACGCUAGCUACAGGCUUAACACAUGCAAGUCGAGGGGUAACGAGAGGAAAGCUUGCUUUCCUUGUCGACGACCGGCGCACGGGUGAGUAACGCGUAUCCAACCUGCCCCCAACUAGGGAAUAACCUUGCGAAAGUAAGACUAAUACCCUAUAAUUUCCUCAGAUGUCAUCUGACGAGGAAUAAAGAUUUAUCGGUUGUGGAUGGGGAUGCGUCUGAUUAGCUUGUUGGCGGGGUAACGGCGCACCAAGGCAACGAUCAGUAGGGGUUCUGAGAGGAAGGUCCCCCACAUUGGAACUGAGACACGGGCCAAACUCCUACGGGAGGCAGCAGUGAGGAAGAUUGGUCAAUGGGCGGAAGCCUGGAACAGCCAAGUAGCGUGCAGGAUGACGGCCCUAUGGGUUGUAAACUGCUUUUAUACAGGAAUAAAGUUAGCCACGUGUGGUUAUUUGUAGGUACUGUAUGAAUAAGGACCGGCUAAUUCCGUGCCAGCCGCCGCCGUAA